rnacentral:rRNA from 1 species
CCCUUAGAUGUUCUGGGCUGCACGCGCGCUACACUGACGUACGCAACGAGUGUCCUUUACCGAGAGGUAUGGGUAAUCAUUUGAGUGUACGUCGUGAUGGGGAUAGAAUAUUGUAAUUAUUACUCUUCAACGAGGAAUUCCUAGUAAGCGCAAGUCAGCAGCUUGCGCUGAUUACGUCCCUGCCCUUUGUACACACCGCCCGUCGCUCCUACCGAUGGGUGAUCCGGUGAAUGAUUCGGACUCGGUUGUCUCUAGCCACUAGUGGCGCUCGAGAAAGUUUUGUGAACCUUAUCACUUGGAGGAAGGAGAAGUCGUAACA